GUUGUUUUGGCAGCACAUUUACUAAAAAAAAAAUUGGAAUGAUACAGAGAAGAUUAGCAUGGCCCCUGCGUAAGGAUGAAUGCAAAUUUGUGAAACAUUCCAUAAAAAA
rnacentral:snRNA from 2 species